GUGAGCUCACUUGUCUUGUAGACAGAGGAUUUGAUCAAAGCUCUGCAGGACCUGGAGAAUGCAGCAUCAGGAGAUGCAACAGUGCGGCAAAAAAUUGCCUCCCUGCCUCAGGAAGUUCAGGAUGUUUCAUUACUGGAGAAAAUUACAGACAAAGAGGCGGCCGAGCGCCUUUCCAAGACCGUGGACGAAGCAUGCCUGUUGCUGGCUGAGUACAACGGGAGGCUGGCAGCAGAGCUGGAGGACCGGCGCCAGCUGGCACGCAUGCUGAUCGAGUACACGCAGAACCAGAAGGACGUAUUGACGGAGAAAGAGAAGAAGCUAGAAGUGAGUACUGAUGGACCCGGUGCUGGCGUGCUGAGUGUCUCACCGAAUGCUCCCACUUGACUCCAGAUGUAUGUGUUUAUCUAAAAGAUGAUGGCUGUAGGUGGUGUUUUCGUUUAGAGUAAAACAGGGAGGGGGAUGGUAUAAAAACUCAGGAGGAAACGAAUUGAGUUUGAUAUUUUAACUUCAUGUUGGCUUUGGAAGGCCCAUCGCUUGAUGGCUUUUAAAGAAAUACACAUACAUUUAACAAACUUCUUCAGGUAUGCUCAAUUUUCUAAGUGCAGUCUCCAUUCCCAAAAAGCCAAGCUCCCUCUGGCAUAGCCAGCUGUAUUUUUGGUUGGUUGGUAGCUUGCUUUUUUAAUAUUUUUUUUUUCUUAUGACUGGGUGCUUCAUCUGUCUUCUAACCUCUACCCGAUAGAGAUGCAGUUUAAGCAAAAUCUUCUGGCAUCCAUCCUUUAACAGCUGUUUUUACCUACAGCUUCAACAGCAGAGUACAAAUUGGGCUGACACCGAAAGCUGAAGACUUGCUUUCUCUGCCAUAGUCUCUUGAGUAAGGAGGGCAUGAAACUGAAAGUGGGACCACUCUGGCAGCACCUGAGCAUUAGCCACGAGCCCGUGGCGAGUGCAUGGGCUGCAGCAGGCAGCCAUUUAUCUGAAGUGCUCUUCCUCAGAGAAGUUUUUAGCAGUGCACCUUGGGACUAGUAUGGAAGUUUAAUUAAUGAUUUUGGUUGUAUGUCACUCUGCCAUCUGUUAAACUGCCCCUUGGCGGCACAUUAAGGGCUUCCUCUACACUGUCGGCUGCUGAUUAUUAUGAACAGCUGCUGCUGGGUGGGACAUGAGUUGCUGUAGAGGACAAAGUCUUCUGGAAGGAGACUGUGCUGCAAUUGCAAGUUCUGUUUACCGUCAUGACAAACCUAAUUUUCUGACAGCUAGGCAACAUUGUUCUGAGGUAAACUUCAUUUCAAAUGUAUUCUUUGUCAUGUGUGUUUAUAUUGGAGUUUCUGAAUGUCUUGUGAUUGUGAAAAGUCUUGCUCUGGCAAAGCAACGUGUUUCUAAAUCAGCCAGGCAAGUGCAGCUAGUUGAUUGUUAGCUCAUUUAGCUUGAAUUUCUUUAAAUGUAACAUCUGUCUUAUGACUGAGACAUCAACAAACACUUUCAAACACAAAUAUGAAAGAUGCCAUAACAACAAAUUGUUUCUGGCACAGAUUGGCUAAAUGCUAGUGGAAAUCUUGGGUCAGGUUUUUCCUUGCUGAAAGAACGAAUCUUGUCCAGUAGAACAUAUAUAUAUUAAAAAAACAAAAAUUAAAUAUGAUGCAUUGCUGUUUAGUUUUUUUAAGGCAAAUGGCAAACUGGCACAGCAAUAUUUUCAAAAAAAAAUGGAGGAACUGUUCAUACACUUGGGUCUGCUUGAGACAGCAUUAAGGUCUCUGAUGCACUGACUGAAACGUUAGUCCAACUGUGGUUUUUUGUUGUGGUUUGGUGUUGAUGAGGACCAUUAUUUGAAAGCUAAGUCUGGCAGAGACACAGAGUAAAUUAAAUUGGAAAUUAAAGGUUAAGCAGCUCAGUGAGUGAGCUACUUUGAUAGGAAUAAUCCUGUGGGGUAGCAGAAUGGCUUGUUUGUAGGCUGUUAAAAGUAAACAUUUUUAAUACAUCAGAAACUCAAGAAUGAUUUAAAUCACUGAUUAGGAUAGUCUUUGUCCUUCUGCCAAAAUAAGGUGGUCUUGGUACUACAGAAGUCUAAAAUUAGCUGUGGGAGAUGCUGCUCGUUGAUAUUUAUUUAACAUGAAGGCACAACUUGUGCUCGCCUCAAUUCUUAGCUGGGAAUAUUGCCUGAUGAAAGCACCCCAUUGUUCCUGAGUUGUGGACGGUUAAUCAAUAGUGGAAGUUGUUGAUUACAGAUGAGGCCAUAUCUGCUUAUUGGGCUCGUUUGAUGUUCUCACAGUCCCACUUGAUAAGGCCUGGUUUUUUCUUUGUAGUGCUAAUGAACGUUUUAGUGGAAAUAUCUGAAACUCUUGUGGCUGUUAGGAAGGACUGUAAGGAAAACAAAACGUUUUCUUAAACAAAGGCUGAAAUGAGGAAAGGACUGAAAACAAUCUGAUUUUAAAUCUCUUAUUGAAUGAUUUGUGCUCUCGAGAUACCUUUCCCAGAGUCCCUGGUACUACUGACUGUGAGUUUUGACUCCUGUGAAGUAAAUUUGUUGACUCUCAAAUGAGGUGGUGUUCUUAGGUAGAAGGAUCCUAAUCUGGUCAAGGAUAUCAGUGGAGGAAUGGGGCUUUCUGGUGUUACUGUGACCCAGUAUUAUUUUAAGAUACAUAAAUAUAUGAUUCCAGAAUCACUGUGGAUAUUUGUCAUGUUUUACUUGCAAUAUAAUGUCUUUCACAGUGAUUGUAAUGAAAAUAGAUAAUCCUUCUGUAUUGAAAAGCAGCUUUUUGCUAUCUGAAGAGCUACACUUUAAUGACCCUAUCAAUAUUAUCCCUUGUGAAGCACAACAAAUUCUCAAAACAUACAAACUGGGUGUAUUUAUGCCUGAAGGGUUAAUGCACAAAAUCCUGUGUGAUGCCAAAACCCCGGGAUGCAGAGCUCUUGUCAUCAGCUGCAGAAAAGCUGUUACCAAGGGGCAGUGUGCUGAGAAAGGCGGCCUUGGGCAAUGAAUUACCCUUGAGCACAGGUGAGGUCUGGCAUGAGUAAGGAUUGAAAAAACAGUGCUGAGAAAUGCUGGUAAUUGGAAGGGAGAAAGGCAGCACAGAGCCUGGAGAUCUCAGCACAUGGACAAACUGCUUUUAAGAGAGCAAUUUCCAGAGUGCAGUUGAAAAAUUGAAAGCCUAACAAUUAGGGCUGCUUUAUUUGGAGGGAAAAAAAAAGAUUGUGGUGAUUUGAUUCUAGCCUAAAAGCAGUUACAAGGACAGCAAGGAAGAAUUUCUUUAAUUCUGGCAGCACGCUGCAGAGAGAAAGCAGCUGGACCAACAUACAUUGAUGUCAAACAGCCUGUUGCAAGGCAUGUAAUUUUAAGCACAGAUAUUCCUUUAGGUUAAUUUACUGAAUGCUGUGGUGGGUUCUGUCAUUCAAUAACUGAACACUGAAUUUCACUUUAAACAGUGCUUUCCCUCAGCCAGGAAUCACAGGCCUGAUACUGCAGUUACUGCUUGACCUCACUCACUGUGCAGUUUUCAGAUCUGUUGAGCCUCUGGUGCAUUUUUCCCCCUGAAAUCUCUGGUCUUUUGCUUUAGUACAUCUGACUUACCUAUGGCAUAUCAACACAGAGACUGAGGGCUCUUAGUCACCUUCUAAAUUCUCAUUAAUGCUUAACUAGAUGCUUUGCAGAAGUUACGGUUGAUGUGAUGGCACAUAACAUGUUGCUGCUUGACCUAGAGAAAAUGUUAAGCUCCAGUGAAGUCUGUACUGUGUAGCUCACCCAGGUGCUCCAGGCUGUGCGGCUCUCCUUGGAAGGAUUUCCUGUCACAUCAGUGCCAGCCAGCCUGGUAACAUUCUAGCAAGGUUUAUUCUGAAUGAAACGCUUCCAUCAGGUUUAUUCAGCAGUGUUUAAUUCUGAUUUCAUGUUUAUUUCAGGGACUAAACAUCCAAUUCACUUGGACGGUGUGGAUGUAGAAUUCUGCGUACUGAGAAGGAAUACUGAUUAGCAAAGGCAUUCAUGUGGCACAGUGCCAGCUUUUUUCUGUCUCAAAGUCCUGCUUACAGCAAAGAUCUCAUUAUUUUGCCUAAAAAAGGCAAAUAGCAUCCAGAUACUGUUAAUCUUAAUGAAAACCUACUCUGCAGCAAGGCAAUUAGCUAGAUGCAUGGAGUCCAAACUAAGAUCUCAGCAAGCAGUGAUUUCUUGUAAGUGCACUUCAUUUCUUGUGGAUUGUUAUGGAGUAGAUGGACCUUAUGCAAGAAUCCACAGUAUGCAGUUUUGAAGCUUGUCAUGUAAGGUAGCUGAAUGAAAAACAUGUUUCUCUAUAAAAGUUGCUUCCAGUUCUGUAAUGCAGAACAUGACCACCACUUGGUCUGUGGGGAGAAAGGAAAACCACUGAGCCUGGAAGGAGGUUACGUGUCUCUGAUACACGUGUUCCUGAGCAGAGCUGAGGGGUGCUCCUGAGUAUGGCAGAUGAUAAAUCCAAAUAAAUAUGCCCUGUGCUUCCUGUGAAGGUAAGAGGAUCCAGGGCUGUGUCUCGCUGGUAGCAUCUCUUCCACGUUGCAGCGGGCCUUCAGACCUUUAAGGCAGUGGUGGCUGCAGCUGAGCCUCUUGGAGGCUCUCCCUCCUGUGCCUCCUGCAGCUCCCAUUGCCUGCGCUGGUGCUCAGCCUCCGUGGUCCCUCACUGCACUGUGGGCUGUUGGCUCGCCUCGGUACCAGAGCAGAUGGGAAGUGUGAAGCACACACGAGGCAGUUCUCAGUGUUGUGUAUCUGAUCUGCCCAGUGAGAGUCCAUCUCUUCUAGGAAAUCUUAAUUCCUGGAUUACUCCCAUAGAACAUUGUUUCCAUUCCUGAACAGCGUCCAUUCUGAGCCAGUGUUUAAUGUAUUUGAGGCUGGUACUGCAUCUUCCCUGUGGGUCUUCUUGUAUUCUUGGCUUUUUUUUCCUUUAUUUUUUUUUUAAACAGGUAGGAUUUAGGCCUUACUGCUUUAACCAGAACUUUUGUGUAGGCUAGUUAACACCUUCAUUAGCCUACUAAUAAGGUAAGGCAAGAUUACUGAGAAUCAAGAUAACAAGCAAGGGCAUAUCAAAGGUUCUUGCUCUCAUAAAUAGUUACUUAAAAAGAAGUCAGACUCAAACUGUACCUAUUUAAAAAAAAA